GACGAACGCUGGCGGCGUGCUUAACACAUGCAAGUCGAACGGAUAGGCCCUGCUUUCGUGUGGUGUUCGAGUGGCGAACGUGUGAGUAACACGGGAGUAACCUGCCCUGGGCGUUGGGAUAACUGGAGGAAACUGGUGCUAAUACCGGAUAGGAGCUCCUGCUGCAUGGUGGGGGUUGGAAAGUUUCGGUGGUUGGGGAUGGAUUCGCGGCUUAUCAGCUGGUGGGUGGGGUAGUGGCUUACGGAGGGUUUGAUGGGUAGCCGGCCUGAGAGGGUGACCAGCGACAAUGGUACUGCGAUACGGAGCAGUGUGCAACGGGGGGCAGCAGUGGGGAGUAUUGUGCAAUGGGCGGAAGUCUGAUGAAGCAACGCCGCGUGCGGGAUGACGGCCUUCGUGUUGGAAACGGCAUUAGGCUGUGACGAAGCGUGAGUGACGGUAAUGGCUGAAGAAGCACCGGCUAACUACGUG
rnacentral:rRNA from 1 species